AUCCUCCUCUGCUCCUUCAGAUGAGUCAAUUUCAUGUGAUGCCCAGCCUUAACUUGCUUAUGCAAAAAUUUUCAUAGAUUUAGGCAGAUCCUUGCCCGAAUGGUAGCACCAACCUAGAAUACGAGCUUGAUGUCAAGGAACAUAAGAAAUAUGCUAUAUGCCAGUGACAACAAUCAAAUAUUUCUAUUUAGUUUUUGUCUGGUUGCAACGUAGGCUGACAGUGGUUGUAAUUUUGCUAUUAUGGGAUUGCAUGAAGCUACAUGAUGCAGCUAAUAGUUGAUAAACCACUCAAUAUGUUGGCAAUCAUUAAUUAUCCAGGGGAAGAGAGCUCUGAAUUGUUCUUCUUGACACAGAUUUGAUCAUCAGCUUGUAUAUGGGGGUUUAUUUGGAGAUAUGGCUGCUACAACUUCCUGUAAAAAAAGUAUAAAGAAACAAAACACCUUUACAAAGAAAUGUUAUACUUAAUUCAGGCACUUCACCACACAAUGGACAAAGCAGUAUCACCCCUGGGCUGCACUGUUGAGUUCAAAUACAUUGUCUCGUCCAUCAUGUUCAUUGUAGACAUAGAUUUCAGAAAGAAUAAGCACACAUUGACUUUAAAAAAAUUCACACCGACUUUAAAAGAAUUCCUAUAAAACUACAAGGAUUUAUCUAUUAUUCUGUGUAUUGGUCUGAUUUGAUGGCAACACAACAACAUGCUAGCUAUUAGCAUCUGUUUCUGCUUGAUGACUGAGCAUGAAUACUUUUACCUAAUUAAUGCAGCAGUUAUGCAACUCUUCUCUCCUGCAGGAUCCAGAUGCAAUGCAAAUAUUGGGACAGAGAACACAGGCAAAUGCAAGGGCGUUCAAGGAAUGGGCUAAUCAACCAAGUAAGGCUUUCUUAUUGAAGCUGUCAUUCUUUUUCUCCAUCUAAAAGGAGAGAAGGGGUACUGGAAUUAGAAGAAAGGAACAUGAUAUCUAAGUACCCAAUUUCCCGUCAAGUGGGGAGAAAACAUAAUCUCGAGGUGACCCACAUGAGCUCAAUAGUAGUUAUUUUCCCCUUCCAGGUAAUGAUAAGUUGAUAAGUUUUAAGGAGCUUGAAAAUUUAGUAGGAACAACACAUGGACAUGUAGUUACAGACAUUAGUGGUAACCGAUCCUUCAUUUAUAUAUUACGAGAAAGUUUAUUUAUUUGUAUAUUUAAUGUCUUUAAGAUAUAUGUUGGAUGUUCUUUUCAUUGUUGAUGGCAGCUAUCUACGGUGGAAAUGAUGCAUUUCAUGGUAGUUGUGGAUGAAAGUUUUCCUCUUAGGGACUUAUGGCUUGAUGUGCAUCUCAUUUAAUGUAGUGUUUCACAAAAAUUCAUGCUUUGCAAUUAAUCCUCCAAAAGCUGCUAAUAAUUUUUUUUUGUGUGCGCUAAGGCAGGCAUUCCACACUGUUCUAGUAUGAAGGGCCAUCAAAGUUGACAUCAAGUUGGUCUAUGGUAUCUUACUAGAAUGCUCAGUGACAAAGGAGGCUAUCCAAUUUGCAGCCAAAUUCACCUCAUGCUAGAUGUGCCUUGCGAAGAAUGAAGUGCUCUCUCUUGCCAGUCUCCAAAUGUCAUGCAAAAAGAGGGUGGGUACCGAUCCUCUCCGCUUGUUUCUGGAUCCAUCCAAUCACCGUGAUAGAGGUGCCCUCAAUAUAAAUAAAAUCGGCUCUUAGGACUUGCCACGUAUAGCUAACGCCUGCUCAAGCCGCCCUCAAUUUUGCUUCAGGAAGAGGUAUCAAAGAUUGGACUCUCAUCAGUCGCUAUGAGCUUAUAAUUCCAGUCUCUGAUCACAAAUUCUACUCCGCUUCUACUGCCACCAUUAACUACACUGUCGUCAAAGUUGACUUUGAGGAAAAUUUAGGGUGGGAUCUCCCAAGUGAUGAACACCAUCUGGGUUGCUACAAGAGUUGAGAAGGAGUUUCGAGUAUUCCAAGUUGUCAUAGGCUCUCCAACAAUAUGUGAGUGGGUGAUCUCAGCGGCUUAUACUAAAGCUUUCUCCAAAAUGAAUAUUGGCGGUUGAAUGUUAUCUUCAAAAGUUCGAGCAUUUCUGGCUAGCCAAAUUUGAUAAACAACAUAAGUACUUAUAAUGUCGGAAUGUUUGGUAGACGAUCCACUGAUGCUACCCCUUAGAUAUGCAAGGACUGCCUUAAUAAGAGUCAUCGACUGAAGCAACUCCAGAGAGGCACUGGCUAGCCUUUAUAUCCACAUCGCUCUCCCACAUUGGAAGAGGACAUGAGCGAUAGACUUCUUCAUCUCACAACAAGGGCAGGCCGGUGGUUUGUUCAUCCCUCGUUUAGUUAGAACAUCCCUAGUUGGAAAACGACUCUACACCAUCUUCUAGAUAAAUUGGGCAAGUGGACACAAGCCUCUAGAUCCAAGUACAAUUUCGCCUCUAUGCAGUCUUUCUCUAAAGAUAUCAUAAUGGUCUCUCACCCUCAGGCUACAAGUGAAUCUCCAAACCCUCACUGUUUCUCCAUGACAGGCUUAUAAGCAUUUGGUGGUUUAACUAUAUACAUUGAGAACUGUUCUGGAUUAGGUUUGGCCAAAAUGGGUGAUCCAGUGAUUCAAUUUGCUCAGCCAGAAUCAAGAAACAGAAUCUGCAGUUCCGAAGUUGAGUCCGAUUUAAGCCCUAAAAAGUAUGCUAAUUAGCAUGAAGCACAAGGCUGCCUUGCUGGUCCUGUGAUUGCAGAUUGCAGCAUUUCUUAAUUCUGAAUAUUGAGUCUCAUAUUCAGUGGAUCUAUCAAUAUGACUUCAAAUUGGCUGCAGGUUUAUGUGACCUUACAAACUCAAGGUGGAUGGAUAUGAUAUCAGAUCACUUUCCCUUGAUUGUUUGUUCGUCAAUCAAAAGAGAAUUCUGGAAUAAGAUAAUUAUUCAGUUUGGAGCAGGCUCAGCAACGUUGCUUUUUUCUACAUUGUUGUUUCUAUGCGAAUCAGUAAAAUAUCACAUGAAAAUUGAUAUUGAAGAUAGCAUUUGGACAGAAUUUCUAUUGUCCUUUGCUUCUAUUUUCUGAAUUUUUGAAAGCAUUAAAUCUUUGCUUCCAAAAACUAAAGAUUUCCAAAAAAAUAUUUUGGAAAAACAAAAAGGUUUUAUGAUGAUGCUUAGUCUAGGUGAUCUCUUCUUGGAUUUUGAAAAUGAAAACAGAAAACGACGGCAAUACCAAGUGGGCCCCUUUGUUUCUUUUUCUUAAAAGGUGAUUGGUUAAGGGGAAAAAAGGUCGGGUAUUCAGGGAUAAGAUAAUUUAUUAGGUUUUGUUUCUGGUUCCAAAGGCGAUGCUAAAUGGAAAAGAAGGGUUAUUUGUGCUCUCUCUCUCUCUCUCAAAAAGUUUCAGGAGGUAGUCAAAGUAGUCUUUAUUGUAUCUGAACAGCAAUCUGAUGGUUGGGUUCAUUUAGUCUGGGCUUAUUCAGACUGUUAAGCAGUUUAGCCCAUGAUUGACCUGCUUUGGCAAAUGUCAGUAGAAAGGUCAAGCGUAGGACAUCCUGAUUAGGCCAGGCUAUUACGGGCAAAGAACCUCAUCCUAGAUAUCUUGGAACGGUUUAUGGAUCUGCAAUCUCUUUUCAUGUCUUUUCUCAAUUCCUUCUGGAAGUCAAAACCCGAUUUUAAAAGAUUUUGUAAUAGCUUUUUCGCUUCUUCAGCAAUUAGUAGUCAAGUAAUGAGGAGCCCCACGCAUAAUUUAUCAUAAGCCUUUUCAAGGGUAAUGCCUAGAUUUCAUGUUCUAUGAGUAGCAAUCUGCUGGUCUUAAUUGCUUCAAUCCCGUAUAAAAUCGUUUUUAGCUUAUCUUCUGUUAAAUAUUCCUAAGCACAGAGAUGGUGUAAAUUAAUCUUUCGUUUAUUGCGUACAAGACCUGUGUUACCAAGCCAUUAAGACCAUCUACAUCUCAGGAGAUUUACAUCAAAAAAAAAAAAACAAUCGCAGGAGAUGUUAAUUUUCCAUCCACAGGCUCUCUCAAAAAUAUACACCUGUUUGCUAAUAUUUCAACUAAUUAGUUAAAUCUGCAGAAGAAAUAAUAUAUGCUCUGGGUUGCACCAGUUGAAUUAGAUUGUGACUCCAUUUCACAGGGUACGCUCCCCGGUAGUGAUAUGGCUACCAUUUGAUGGAACAGAGAACAUCAAUUCUAAUAAUUAACUCGCCGUGGUAGUUCAUCUGUGCAAUAAGAUGGAUAGUAUAUUAGCAUCUGCAUGCAAAUUUAUCCCUUUUUUUUUUCUGAGCAACCAUAUUUAUCCACUAUUGAUGCCAAAGAAUCAUAGUAAUGUAUGGACCUCCGAUGAACCAAAGGACACAACUGACUCCACCAAUACUAAUUCCUUGCCACGUUCCUUUCAAGAGGGCCAACACUGAUUAAUAAUACGAUCCUUUCUAUGUUUUUUUUAAAGGUUUCCAAUGUCAUGCAUCAUAAUGAAGUCCUGAGGCUGCUCCUCUACUGCCGCAUUCGUUGAUCUACGUUUCCUGCACCUGGUAGUUUAAAGGUGGUGACAAGUAUGGCCUGCAGUUCAUCUAAAGAACAGAGCAAAAAUCUUAGCAAAACCCUCUUUUUUCCCUGCAAAAAAGGAUGAUCAAUGUUACAUCUGCUGGUGGCUGGUUUUUCUCCCUAGUCCUGCAACUUCUGGCCAUGUAAUGUCUCUGGGAGCAGCAACCACCCCAAUAUGGAUCCAGACAUCUUGUUCGUUGGACGAAAGAAAUAAACCAAGCUUAGGUGCACUUCGUUACAAAAGCAAAGAAGAAAAAUUUCAGAGCAAUGAAAAGUUUACAUUCAGUUACUAGUUUGGCUUUGUGAGAUAUGAAUGCACCUUUUCAUGUGAUCGCCAAUUAACAAAAUGAUCAACCAGAUGGAGAUAACAUAAACUGCUUACAAAUUGGCUUUCUAGAAGUAGUUGCUUUUGCAUCUAUAAAACCUCUCAACAAAUGAACCUCACGAUUAGCCUUAGAUUUCCCUUAGAAACCUAAACUAAUUCUAUACUGGAAGAAUUAACAUGGUGAUUAUCAUUAACUAUUUUGUAUACUGAACAUAUCAUCAAUACUCUUAACAUGAAGAACUGUGCCAAUCAUGUCUCGGAAUCAAGUCUGGUUCCAGUCCUACUGUUUUAUCAGAGUAAAUCCAAUAGCAGAAUAUGAAAAUAUUCAUAUUAAAUUAUACCGACAUGGCACAGGUGAUUAUUCUUUCUUUUCACCCCACAAUUCUAUCCUUCUACUAAACCCUGUGAAUUCAUGUCAUUCUCCUCUUCUGGUUUUUCUCCUAAUAUUCACAUUACAUCACAAGCAGCAGAGGGGCAUCCCUAAUUGAGGUUGAGAAUAUCAGAUCAUUAGCAUAGCAGCACUAACAUAUUAAAAAGAGAGAUAAACAUUACUUAAGGAAGUCAGGAACUAAUAAUUUUGCUUCAAAACUACGAAGAACAUAUCAGUGGUUGAUCAGCAAAAUAUCCAACUAUGUCAACUACUGCAGUAUCAUAUACUCGUUUAGCCCCUAACUUAAGCAGUGAAGCAUGAUCUCUGCAUGUGGAUGUCUGUGAUACACAUUAUAUAGAUUGAGUUAAACUGACUCUUAUAUCCCCUGAAAACAGCAUGAUCUUGCCCCAUAUAAUCUAAAGAGUGUUUUCAUAACAUAGCUCCUAAAGGUUGAUUAUGCCCUCUGCUCUUUUAAACCAUGGAUUUGAGAAGAUAUGAUGUAAUAUGAUGACCAGACUGCUUCACCAUCUGAAAUUGAAUGGGUUAGAAAACUCUUUUAGUUACAGUGAAACAUUUUAUUAUACAUUAAUUUUGUUUUUUAAUGUGGACCUUAUGCUAUCAGGUAAUUUUUAAGGGUGAAUUUUGUGAAUGAGCACUCCCCUAAGAAUCUUGAGCUUAAGAUAGAUUCAAGACCUAUUGAAGCCAUAAUAAGGUUUAUCUCAUUUUUUUACAAGUUAACCACCUUUGCCUUUUUUUUUUUUUUGCUGAAAAAAAAGGGAAGGGGGGAGGAAGGGACAAGCCCACCCCCGCGUAGCAGCCCCUACUGGGCCCCCACCCCGUCAGGAGAAUGUUCGAUGCGGGCAGAAAUGACUGUGUAUUGGGCACGCCGGCCGGUUUUACUCAUACUCUCCCCACCUGUAGACCCGGCUUGGUUACCCCUCUGGGCUCCGGCACGAAUAUCACAUGUGAGUACGUCACACUUGGCACCACCAAGGCUACCAGCAGAGCAAUACGCCCUUUCAGACCCCGUGUCCAAGUAGGGAGCAUCCGGUCUCCACAAUUUAAUAGACGCCUGUGCGUUUCGAACUCGGAAUCACUUGGUUGGAAGUAAGGUCACGCUCCCACUGGGCUACCACCUUAGUGGUAACCACCUUUGCCUUUCGAAGGUGAAAUUAUAGUAGUAACUCUUAACAACAUGACUUUAUCCUUUUUCUUCAUUGUUAUAUUUCUAUAUGUUUUUUUUCUUUAUGUUCCAUGUUGCAUUGCACCCGUCAAGAUCCAUCUAGUAUAACAAAGUGAUUUAGAGCCAAGUUAUUGUAUUGUGAUUGCAGAUAUGAUGUAUCAACACAAAUGGGAAGGACAGUUUUUUCUGUGGGAAGAUCUUGAUCUUUUGACUCACCAUUGCUGUACAUCACACUCAUGCAACAAUGGUUAAUAGAGACUAAAUGUUUAUUUAAGACUAGGCCAGGUUCUGUAUCACAUAGCAAAGGCUCUAGAACAAAUUUUGAAAUUAAAUUUUAAGCUCUUUCAUGAUGAACACAUUUGAAUUGAACAUAUCUAACUCUGAACAACAGCAGCACACAACUAGUCAUAUCAGAAGUAGCAAUAACGCAUUCUAGACGGCCUAGGGUCAAUUUUUUAGGAGACAUCAAUAUAUUAUCAUAACCACAUCCUAUCUUUUAGGUUUUUAUGCUGACAUAUAGAAGAAUAUAAAACCAUAUUCCAACUACCUAUGCUACUCUAAUGAGCAGAUUCUUUUGUCAUUGUAAUAUGAUAGACAAAUAAUAUCAAAGAUUUUCCACAUUCUUCUUACAUUGCAUAUACCAUUGGUACAUCAGUAAGAGGGGUCAUAGAGGGAAAACUAAAUGAUAUAUUUGCAACUGAUCAAAGUCAAAUAGGAAAGAAAAUAAAAAGCAAAUUGAAUUUAUGCUACAAUAAGAAUGACGGCACAAAAUGUGGAAAACUUAAGGCAAUAAGAAAGGAAAGCACCUUCACUUAGCAGGAACACAAUUAAAAAUUUAAAUUACUGUAACAUAUAUUUUGAAUAGCUAUAAAUAAGGAUUAUCCAUAUAUGGGAAUUUAGGAUUUUAGUAAUUCCUAUCGUGCACACUCCAAUGUACUAAGUGCAGUUCUAUUGAUAAUAGUAUCGAUCUCAACAAAUUAAAGGAGGAUUCUGCCAAAAAAAGAAGGGAGGAUAAUCAAUAUAAACUUGCACUAUUAGUUUGAUAGGCUAUAUCAAAUUUCCAACUAAUAAAAAAAAAUCCCAUAUGUCUGAUUGAUAUUGCAGAUUCCAUCAGUUGUAAACACAUGAAAAGGUAACUUAUAGUCGAAAAGGUAGUCCAGAAAUGAUGACACAAAAAUGUCAAGUACACAUCGGUUACAAAAUACUUGAUGGAUAAAAUUCCUAUAUCAUCAUGGCAAGGAAAAAAAUAAAAAGAAAGACUAGGCUAUCAGGGAUUACUUGAUACUAGACUCACCUUAUUAGAAAAAGGCUUAUGCAUUUUGUGUUCCCAUUUAUUUAUUUUUACUAAGUGCAGCUUUAAGGAAAAAUCAAGAUAUGCUCAAUUUUGUUAAAAUCCUUCCCUGCAAUUUAAGGAACAGAAAACAUUCACAGAAUAUCUGUAACUAACUCAUCACAGCCAAUUGGUAUCUCUCAAUAGAGAAUUAAUUUCAUGAGUAAGCAUGCAUAAUGCAAGAAGAAAGGAAAGUCAAAGAGUUUAACAAUGGUGUUAUGUCUAUAUGGGUUGAUAAACAGUCUAAGGCAGUUUGUUCCCUAGGCCUAAUAGUCGCUCCAGGAAUCAGUAUAUGUUCUAUUAUUGUGCUUGAUAGCACUAAUGAAUGAACAUGGCAUAAUCCAAUAGCCUCCACUGCAGCCCAAGUAUUACAUUAGGCCAUGUUUCCUGUUUAUGUUGCCCAGCAUGUUUAGAACAUGAGACUGAAUCAGAGUAAUAUCCUGCUUCUAAAUAACAAUUUGUCUUUUGAUUACUAUAAAGAAAAACAUUUCAUCAAUCACAUGCAACCUAUAAGUUGUUUAGAAGUCCUCAAGAUCUGCAUCACACAUGCAAGCAAGCACACACAUGAGAAAUUAGAUAUCUUUGAUAACAACAUAGAGAUAAGAUCCAUUCAAUGUCAACCUAACUGCACAAAAUUCUAGUGCAUGUGAGAAGUUCAUGGAACAAUCUAGCUGAGAUUUGUAUAUUUUUGAAUCAUUUAGCAUGAUAACAACAGAAAAGGACAUUGUCUAGACCUCACUGCCUCAACCAAAGAAAAUUUAUCUUGGCCAAACACAGAGCAAUUCUGAGAUAAUUUUGUUGUGCAAUAUAAGGAAAAAGGCACAGCAAAACAACCACGAAAUAUAAAGAAGAACGAUCAAGCAAGUUCUAUCUAAUACUUGUAAACAUUGAAGAAAAAAAAGAGAAUAAUCCUGAAAGCAACAAGACCAGCAUAUUUAAACACGACACAAGACAACGUACACUGAUAAAACAUAGGGAGAAAAAGGCAUCAACAUACACCACAAGGCCACCGAAGUUCAUGGAGAAAUACCAUAAUUACCUGACCAAUAUAGCUUGAGGUUGCAGCUGAUGCAAGGGAGAAGAUAAGAAAACCAAAAACCUGAUAGUUUUAUAAUACAUUGUUGCAUGUGCUCGAGUUACAAAGUGCUACUGUCAGAUAAUUUCUCUCUGAACCAUAAGCAUAUUACAUCAGAUCAAAGCAACAAUAUUUAUCAACCACAGUAGAAGUAUCCUGCUUAGUCAGUUUUGUAAAUCAUGUAGAUGAAAACAUCAUUUAGAAGCUUCCAUGUCAGGUUAUAAGUAACCUCUAAACCCUGUACACUUUUGAUGCUUUGCUCUGAGAAACUGGUUCCCUGUCGGAGGUAGUUCCUACAGCAAAAGGUAUGGUUGAAUGAACUGGUCGAGAUAUAUCUUGGUCCAUAUUUUGACAGGGUUUUAACAUAUGCUUUGCUCCUCCACUAAGUUUGACAAACCCUGAUCUUUCCUGUGGAUCGAAAUUUGAAGCACUAGACCCAGAUGUAGCUACCAUAUUGUCUUUCUCAUUGCCCAGAUGUAGCAUUGGUUCCCUGUCAGUUAUCUGACUCCCAUAAGAAUUGAUUUCUGAUGAUCCUACGUUACAUUUUGAAUGUUCAUGCAUUUGUUCUCUUCUCCCAGACUCUGUUGAAACAUUUGAGCCUUCUUGAAGAUUUAGAUUUGCCUUCUUCAAAGUAUUCAUAGAAAUAUCAUCGUUAGCUGCAGGCCUUUUUCUAGUUUUAUUGGUACAAUCCAGAGCCUUAACAUUUGCAAAUUCAAAUUUUGUGCCGGUGUUGUUUUUCUUCUUGCCUCUACAGCUGGUAUUGACUGCCGGGUGGGGCUUGUUUACCCCCAAGGAUGGAAUAGCUAAAUGGUGAACCACAGGAGCUGGACCAGGUAAGCUAUUGCCUCUGUAAAAUGGAAAAGAAAUUAUAGGUGCUGUAUAUGGAGAAGAAAAUGGUAAAACAUUGUUUCCAUGUAUAAUGCUGGGUUGGUUUGCAGAAAGUGGGGCAGAAUAAGGACAAGAUGAUGGUUGGAUUUUCUUCUGAUGUGUUGCAUUUAGCAGCCAAUGAGGAAGGGUUGGUGGAGAAUGAGCUAUAGAUGUUCGUGAAAGACUCCUACAUUCCUGAUAAGGAAAAGCAGGGUGAAAAGUUGACAUACUGUAAGGAACACUUUGGCUGUGCUUGCAAUGAGGAGAAUUUAGAAGCAUAUGCUGGCUCGCGUUCUGAGGAUAGGGUCCCACCACUGGUUGCUGAUGCCCCAUCUUGACAUGCUGAGUUCUUGAGUUACAAUUGACUGCAGAAUUGGUUGUCUUUUUCAGCAAUUGUUGAGGAAUUGAAUUAAAAAAUAGUUCCGCAUUAUAACCAUUACUUCCAAUGUCUGAGCUUCUUGACAACCAUUGUGGUUGAAAAUCAAGCUGCAUAGGAUUAGAACUAAAUUCAGUUGCUGGCAUACAGUAAACACUUGAGGGAACUUCUAAGGACUUGAAAAGAUUUUCUUUUGAGGAAACAUAUUCUGCAUGCUCAACUGGUUCCCCUCGAGGCCAUAUCUUCAUAAAGGGCUUACCAGACACUGUUAUAGAGGGGCAGUUUUGAGUUACUAGUUCAUUAUCAGACCAUCUCUUUCCAUCAUUAAAUCCUAGACAUUCUUCAUUACUUCUACCAACUGUGACAUUUUUACCCAUCAAACGCAUUGUUGGCCGGAUAACAGGUUGAAACCUGCUGUCUAGAUUCUUUUCCGCAUGGAAGUGCACUCCAUCAAUGUAAUUUUCAGUUUUAUUACAUUCCAUGCAUCCACAACAAGAGACUUCCAUUUGAUUUGUAUCACAAUGAGUAAUUUGGUCAAAAUCCUGAUUCUCACGAUUCUGGAUUUCCAUUAUUUCAAAUCCUUGCAAAUCAGUAAAACCCAUCCCAGAUGUUACCACUUUGCCAGCAGGGUAGUAUUGCUCCAAAGACCAACUUAGUGGAUCCUUUUGGUACAAUGAUGCACAAGGAAAUUUCUCUUUCAAUUUAACCUGGCUACUCUUUGGCUCAACACAAUUGGGAACUGGGAAGCUACAGACAGAAUUCCGUACCGAGUUUUGCUUCUUAUAGAAAUCACUGUAAACAAACUUAGUAUUAGAAUGCAGCUGCAUUAAUUCUCCCUGCGAAUUAAGAGGCAAACCAAUAAAGUCUUUGUCAACGCUCUUCUCCCUACAGGUAGACAUCAGAUCUGACAUCAAUCUUGACUCAUCAAAUUCCUUUGAACUGACUGAAGAUGAUAUGCUACUUAUCAAAUCUUUUGGAGAAUGGUGGUGCACUGGUUGAAAUCCUGGUCGGUGGCUACAGAAAUCCAUGGUAGGGUCCACACAUCGAAGGUGCUGUUCCUUACUGGCUUCCGAACUUUUUUCCAGACAAAAUGGUGAAUGCCGUAAAAUUGAAUUUCUGGUUAGGGUUAGUGAGUUUGUUGCAGUAGACCUUGGUACACACUUUUCAAUAGGACCAUGCAGAUUUCUUAUAGCACUUGACAUCAUUUGAGAACUUUCUUCCCCAUGAGUUCCAGCAUCACAAAUUGACCCAGCUUCAUGAAUAGGAUUCAGAACCUUUGGGUCACCUGAAUAAGCAUGAGUAGGUGACGUAGUGGAGCUCAGGCUAAAACAACUCAAUUCACUAAUAUCCUGUACAGCAUGAUUUAAGUCUACAGAUUCAGACAGGGGGCUCCUCUUUGUUUCAGGAGACUUCCUUUUGCUGGGAUCAGUAAAGCUAUGGGGGAUGGCAUGAUCAUAAGAGCCACUCAAUUGUUUCUCUUCAGAUACAGUUCCAUCUGUCAUCUCUACAUCACUUCUAGCCAAAUCUUUAUCCCUUGCAUUCACCACUUGAGCUCCCUCAAUAGGAGGAGGACAUUUAUCACCUUUGCUCAAAUUGUCCAUAGCUGAUGAUGCAGCCAAAACAUCGGAGAAUAUUUUGCAGAGGUUUUGCAGGUGAGGCAGCUGCAUAGUAGAACAUCUUUUUUUUAGCCCAAGUAUGUCAUCCUUGCCAGAAAAACUGACACGCUUUGCUGAUUUACAACAAAGUUUGAUGAAAUUUCCACCCUGGGCAUCACUUAUUGUCUUUCCCUUCUUGACAGAAGUGCCUCCUUUCCGGUUCUUGAGAAUGCUAUGUAGUGGGAACAUCCUUGUCACCUCCUUCUGAUUCCUAGAGAUCAAUUUUGAAGUUUGAAUAAGUUUGAAUUUAUGUUUCUUUGGUAAACUCUUCGCAGUAACUGACUUCUUUUGCCCAUCAACAAGGUUCCUCUGUAUUUUCCUGAGCUUCUUAUCGUGCAAUUUGUUCUGGAGUAUGUGAGAAAUAUCAACAGGAGAUGACAUUUUGAAAUUGCCAAUUUUCUCCUGGCAUAGGAAAGCAAGCAUCACGCAUCAUUCAUUUAUGGUCUUUCACAAUUUCUUCGCCAUAAAAAUUCACACGUGCUCACUUGCAUGCAUGUGAUAGGCUGUAUAAGGAAAAUUAAGAUAAGUGCUGUAUGACUACAUUCCAUUAACACAUCGAAUUGCAUGUAACAGAUUCAGUCUCUUCCUUAAAGGGAGUUCUAUCACUACAAUAUCUAGAUUACUAUGAAUUGAUGUUAUUUGCCCUAAAAUUAUGACAUUUAGUCUUCAGUUAGCUAUGUGCUUGUCAAGACAUGCCUGUCCUAUGAAGGUUAGGUGGUAUUUGCGCAACUUUCUCUAAAAGUCGAAGAACAAAAAUGACCCUUGCCCAAAAUAUCAACAUGUUCUUGAUCUAAGAAUAUGUUGAUAAAUUUUGGGUCAGAUCAGUUAGUGUAAGAUAUAAAUCUUUUAUGUCACGCAUCACCUAACAAAUUAAGAAGAGAAGAUAGCCAGAAUAACUGGCAGUCAACAAUUUUACAUUACACCAAGCGCCAUAAGUCAGAAAAGUAAAUUAUAAAGGCUAUUUAUUAUGAAAGUUUUUCCAAUUAAGACACUCCACUUUAAGUUUUGGUUCAAAAGCAGAAAUGAUAGUCCAUAUCCAUAAGUUAAGACAUAGGAAAGAUCAGAAUGAAAAUAAUGUAACUUGGAUAGAGCAUUGACUCCAUAAGAUGCGCUAUUUCCAGACCUCCAUAUAUAAAAUCAAAACAUAACUAUGAAAUGCUUCCUAGCAUGGAGGACUCUUACAAAAUUUUCAGCCAAAUUUGCCAAGAGACUGUCAUGUACAACCUGUCAAGCUAUCAUAUGUCUAUAAUUCAGAAUAUAUGAAUUUAACAUAGGUAUGUCAUCACAUAUUUUAAGUAGUAUCAGAUUUGAUAUAGCUUGUAUGUAGGCACUGACAAAUUUAUUAAUCACAAGCAACCUAAUAAAGAGAGAUCAUGUAUAAAAUAAGAUGCAUUCCCCACCACAUCAUUAGGCACAGUCUUCAAACUUCUUGGAACUACUCUAGAUGACAGAUGUUAAAAGAUAUUUUCUUUGGGGAGAGUAGUACUUUAGAUAUAUGGUGUCCUCAUCUUUUAUGCAUUAGUAUAUAAAGGUUCUACUUUAUUGCAAGGUUUGCCGUCUCGGUAUCGGACUCCGUACUGGUACCCCACUAGCACAAUGUCGAUAUAGUACGGUAUGAAAUUUUUUUGGCGUACCGACUCGUACCGGAUACCUGUACUGAACCGGUACAGUACGGUAUGCCUCAUACCAUCCGGUUCGGGCCGGUACAGCGUUCUUUGCUUUAUUGUGUAUUUUAGCCUACUGCUUAUAUUAUAGGGUUAGCAGUCAUUACAUUUGCUUCAAUUAUUGUUCGCCAAGUUUCAUGAUAUAGAAGAAUGAAACAUCAUCAAAAGGCCUCCUUGGAAACUUUAGAAACUUACAGAAUGAGAUAAUACUCAUUUAUGUGUUGAUUAGAUAUCACAUAUAAUUGGUGAACAUCCCCAAAUUUUUUAGAAAGCUAGGUGAUGAGGGGGGGAGGCCAAAUGAAAGGAUAAAUGGAUGAACAAUCAAUCAUUCACAAUAAGAGAGGAGGAUGGAUAAAGCGAGCUACAAGCUCAAGCUAUCUCAUAUAUCAAAUAGUUUAGUAAUCACAAUCUGCCCUUCACCAUCUGCCACAUGGUCUAUUUAUACUAGUCUAAGUAUUAAUCAUGCUCCAACUUACUAAGUACCCAUUACAAUUUUCAAACCCAAAAUAAAUGUAAUCACAACUUACUAAGCUCCCAUUAUAAUUUCCAAACCCAAAAUAAAUGCAAACACAACUUACUAAGCACCCAGUACAAUUACCAAACCCACAAUAAAUAUAAACACAACUUAUUAGAAAUUAAAGAGAUAAGACUGACUUCCUGACCAAAGGUAGCUUCUUCCAUACUAUAUCAUUCUCCCCGGGUGUAAAAUACAAAUCAGAGUUAUGGCAUUCAAUCUCAUAUUGCAAAAAAUCCAUGAAUUUCUGGGGUUGGGCGAUGGUUUCUCGAUCCUCUCUGUCACUUGAAGGAAGAUAGCCACUUUCAUUAUAUAAUUCUUUUCAUUUUCCGUUUUUUUUUAGGUGGCGACUCCAUUUCUAUUUUAGGGUCCCUGUCCUCGAGUUGUCAUCCAAACUCGCUAUGAUACAUCAAUAUGUGAUUCAAUUUAACUUGUAAAAAUGUCAUGUCCAACUUUUGCCAAUAAAUUCCAAAGUCUGAUAAAGCCCUGAACCAUGACCAAAGAUCCUUGAGAAUGUCAUCUUCAUUUGAAAGUGCUAUGGAUAUCUCCUCUUGACAUAGGAUCUUUGGAUUGUUAUCAAGGAAAUCACUCAAUAACUUUCUGAAAUCAAACGAACCCUUCAAGCAUUUGAACUCAUGAUUUCUGAAAGGUGGAGUUUGGCGUCACAUCAUCAUGUUAAAAUAAUCUCAAAGCUCUUUGAAGCAUAGUUCUCCACAAGUCUAUGAAAGCCUUCAUUAAAAAGAUCUACUCCUUGAGAAGGGAGUAAGACCAACUCCUUACUCUCAUCCAAGACGGCAACAUUAGCAUCACGAUAAAUUUCUUCUAAUGACAAAGACAAAUACUGUGAAAACAUUAGACCGUUAUUCCGAAUCUGUUCAUCAUCCAGAUAAACAUCAUAUACCAGUGGAGAAUCCCAAUCCACACAACAUUCUCCUUUCUUAAUGUCACAAACAUUUUCUUGAAGAUUGAAAAUAUUUGAACUAUACCAAGCUUCAUUUGAAUCAAACCUUAGAGUUGUAAGCACCCUAUGGAUCAUAAGACUUUCACCUUUUUCUGGUUUAACCUCACACGCUCAAUGUCACCUUCUUCAUCAUACACAGGUUGUUUUGAGCUAUCAAGGUCUUCUUCUUUCAUAAAAUUUACAUGAAUAUCAACCUGUUUCUUUGGGCAAGUGUAGUGAUAAUGACCAACCUCUCCACACUUGAAACAAGAAUUAGAAUUAUUGCCAAAAUCAUGGAAAUUUGAAUUAGUACCCUUACCAUGAGAAGAGUCUCCUUUGGAAGAUGGGUAAAGAUUUUGUACCUCCACAAAUUUCUUUCUCCCAUUACGAGCGAACUUAGCCUCUACUUUCAAGGCUAGUUGAUAUGCACCUUUGAGUUUCUGAUGCAGCAUCGAGAAUGGGAGAUUGUUGCUGUGGCGACAGAACAGAGAAAACAGGGGAAAGAGGGAGGAAGAGAAGGAGAGGAAAGAGAGGAAGGGAGGAAAAGGAGAGGAAAGAGAGAGGGGAGGAGGAAAUGUGGGGAAGAAAUCUGAAAUCACGUUCAUUAAACCCUAAUCACAAUGAGGGUCCCAUAUAUAUAGGGCUCAAAACAAAAAAAUUAACACAAAACCCCUUAUACACAAAUAAUUCCCAAUAAAGCCCAAAAUAACACAAAUAAAGCCUUACAAUAAUAAAAAUGCAAACAAGCCUAAAAUAAAAUAAAAUCCGAAAUAAGAAUGAUGGACUGGACGGAUGGAUGAUCAGCUCGAAUGUCCCCAUCAACUCCUUCCGGAUGAAAAAAGCUCGACCCCGUCGAGUGUAGGUCUGGCCAGUUCUCGUACUGCUCCAGAAGGUCAGGAUCAAGGCGCUGCAACUCGGCUCUCGAAAUUCACGUCGCAUCCGACUCUGGUCAACUUUUCCACCGAACAAGAUAGCGUCGGUAACUUUCUCUCCUGGUAGAUAUAACAUGCUCAUCUAAUAUAUGUUCUAUGUGUUCUCUACGUGCAUGAAAUUUUGGAGGUGGAGGCUUAACAGUAGGUAAUGGGUCAGGGUGAUCAACAAAAGCGGUGUAUCAAGAAAGGGGUCAGAAGAAAUGAAUGUUGUCUUUUCGUAUGAGACUAAAUCUUCAAUAUUAAAUGUCACACUAAUCCCAUAAUCUUUAGAAAGAUUUACAACAUAAGCAUUCGAACUAAUUUUCUUUAGAACUUUAAACAGUCCCGCACUACGAGCUUGCAACUUUUUGAACGUUUCCGAAGAAAAUCGUUCAGGUCUAAUUCUCACCAUGACAUACUUGUCUAUAUUCAACUCUUUAUAACGCCUGUGCAAAUCAGCAAGAGAUUUAUAUUUUAAGUUAUUAUAAUGAAUGUGUUUGCUGAUUUUCUGAUGCAAUGAAUGCAGUUGUGAUGCAAAUGAUUGUGCAGACUCAGAGACUCUAUAUUAAUGAGACAUGGCAAUCAAGUUUAUGGGCUGCCUAGGUUUAUAACCAUUCAACGGACUCAUGCUUAAGGACCUAUUGACUGAACUAUUAUAUGCAAACUCAGCUGUCGAUAACACUAAAUCCCAAGUCCUAGCAUGUUCACCUACCAGACAUCUUAAAAGAUUUUCUAGAUUACGGUUAACAACUUAUGUCUGGCCGUCAGUUUGCAGAUGAUAGGCAGAAGAAAAUUUCAAUCUGGUGCCCAUCAUGUGCCAAAGAAUCUUCCAAAAGUAACUCAUGAAUUUAAAAUUUCUAUCGGACAUAAUAGAUUUUGGAAGGCCAUGGAGUCUAACGACUUUGUCAAAAUAGAGUUUGGCAAUUCUAGAGGCAUCAGAAGUCUUAGAACAGGAGAGAAAAUGAGCCAUCUUCGAAAAUCGGUCCAUAACUACAAAAAUGAAAUCGUGUUUGGUGGAAGUACGUGAAAGCCCUAAUAUGAAAUCCAUACUGACAUCUUGCCAAGGACACUCGAAAAUGGAUAGUGGAGUGCAUAGACCAGUGUUCUGCUUACGUUGUUUGGCUAGAUGACAUGUACGAUACUGAUUGACAAUUUUGGCCACGUCUCUCUUGAGACUCAGCCAGAAAAAAUAUCUCUCCACCAUUUCAAUAGUUUUGUCUCUCCUGAAAUGUCCAGAAAGUCCUCUAGCAUGUAUUUCCUAUACUAAGAAAUCUAUCACUGAGGUUCGAGAGAUACACAAUCGGUCAGAGUGAAAGAGGUAAUCAUUUUGCAGAAAGAAAUCGCUUCGUUCUCUUUCUACUCCGUCUCAUAGGGUCAGGUAUAUCUCACUAAGGUUAGGACACGUGGUGUAUUGUUCCCUGAUCCUCUCAAAGCUAAUUACUUUAGUGCUCAUCAUGGUUAGGAGGAAGAUCCGUCGACUGAGCGCAUCUGCAGCUUUAUUCUCAACUCCGGCUUUAUGUUUCAAGACAAAAGUAUAGGCUUGAAAAAACUCAAUCCAUCGGCCAUGUCUAUAGUUCAGUUUCUUUUGGGAGUUGAGAUGUUUCAAAGCCUCAUGGUAUGAAUACAAUACAAACUCUUGCGAUAGCAAAUAGUAUCGCCAAUGUCGCAAAUCUUGUACUACCGCAUAGAAUUCUUUAUCAUAGGUGGAGUAGCGUAUCCUGCCGUCGCUUAAUUUUUCGCUGAAGAAUACGACAGGAUGACCUUUUUGACUUAACAUGCCACCUAUGCCAACGCCAAAGGCAUCACAUGCGACCUCGAAUACCUUUAUGAAAUUAGGAAAAAGCAAAAUAGGAGCUUCGAUUAUCCUUUUCUUAAUUUCAUUAAAUGCUUGGGAUGCCGACUUGGUCCAGAUAAAGUCUUCAUUCAUGCAAUCUGUAAUGGAAGACAUUAUCGAACUAAAACUCUUAAUGAAGUGGCGGUAGAAAGUGGCCAAACCAUGGAAACUACGCACUUCCAUUAGGGCCUUGGGCUCAGGCCAUUCUAGUAUCACGCUUACUUUCUUCGGGUCAGCGGAAACAUCCUUAGAAGACACUAUGAACCCUAAGAAAGUGACAUGAUCUGUCAGGAAGGCACACUUCUUGGGGUUUGCAAAGAAGCUUUCUCUUCUAAGGACAUCACAGACUUGCCUUAAGUGUGAGAGAUGAAGCUCUUGAGUUUGGCUAUAUAUCAGGAUAUCAUCAUAAUACACAACGACAAAUUGAUUUAAGAAAAGUCGAAAGAUCUGCGUCAUCAUCCUCAUAAAAGUACUGGGAGCGUUUGUUAAGCCGAACGGCAUAACUAACCAUUCGUAGAGUCCAUAUUUUGUUUUAAAGGCAGUUUUUCAUUCAUCCUCAGGACGAAUCCGAAUCUGGUGGUAUCCACUCUUCAGGUUGAUCUUGGAAAAGAUUGUAGCACCAGACAUGUAAUUUAAGAGGUCAUCCAGCUUUGGGAUGGAAAAACGAUACUUAACCGUGAUUUUAUUGAUGGCACGGCUAUCAACGCACAUCCUCCAAGAACCAUCUUUCUUGGAGGCAAGGAGUGUGGGUACAAUUCAGGAGCUUAGGCUCUCACGAACAUAUCCUCUUGUGAGGAGUUCGUCAACUUAACGUUUCAGUUCAGUGUGUUCGCUUGGGUUGAGCCUAUGAUGGAAAAGACUGGGUAAGGAUGCUCCGGAAACUAGGUCAAUUGCGUGUUGAAUAUCAUGCAUCGGAGGAAGUAUAUCUGAAAGAUCCUUAGAAAAAACAAAGUGAAACUCCUCUAGCAGGGAAACUAUUGCCGGUAGAUGCUCGGAGUUCGAGUCCACAUUAAUGACUCUAGCCACAAGUGCAAACAUAAGUGACUGGUUUUCAAUAUCUUUUAUUACCUCUUUCGAAGUAAUGAUGUGAGGUGAUUCAUCUUUACGCAGGUUAGCACUCUUCUUUUCAGGGGCGGGCUCUCUAGGAGGCAAUGAGUUCAGUAUAAUUUUUCGAUCCAGGAACAUAAAGCUACACGAAUUCGAAUGUCCAUGAAGUGUGACUUCCAUAUCGUAUAGCCAAGGUCUUCCUAGAAUGACUUGACCUACAUCCAUCGGAAUGCAGUCACACCAGAUUUCGUCUUUAUAAGAUAGUAAUUAAAUCGGGAUGAGGCAUCUUUCUGACACAGAAAUGGAUGUCUUAUCCACCCAAGCUACUUUAUAUGGGUUGGGAUGAGGAGUAGAUUUUAGGCCGAGGUGGGAGACAACUUCGGAAGCAAUGGCGUUGAUACAACUUCUGCUAUCAAAUAGGAUUUUGCACAUUUUAUCAUUGAUCCUAACGAGAGUGUAGAACUGGGAGGUCCUACACCAAUCUUGUUCGGUCUGAGUCUGAGCUAGUGUACACCUAACCAUAUAGAGCUAGGAUUUUGGUUACUUGGAUCAGUGAGCUCCUUUUGUGGUUCAGGCUGAAAAAAUUCUAAUCCGGCAUGUUCAUCUCCAAAGUCUUUUACAUAAUCUUCGAUGUUUGGCUCAUAGACAUUUUCAACAUAUUCAGUCUCUUAGGUUCUAACUUCUGGUUCAGUAAUUAGGUAGGUCUUGGCAGUACAUUGGGACGCUAUGUGGCCAAACUUUUAGCAUCGAAAAUAUUGGUUUUGGCUUCGAGAAGAAGGGUUAGGACCUAAUAUUUCUUUUUCUUUAUCAUUUGAAGGGUUCAGGACAGGCAUCGAGGAUGCCUUAGUUGGUGUUUGGAUCGGACCGGGCUGGUUAGGAGGAUUGGAAAGCGGUCUAGGUUGCGGAAGAUAAUUUUGGUUAGGUCGGGCUCCUGAGGCCAUUGGUCGAGGGUCGAUAUGCCUCACCAUAGGGGGUCGUAAAAAACUGUCCUCAUCUUGAGCCAAGCCUCGCGUAAAUAUGGCGCGCGGGCCGGGGCCAAGCCGCACGCAGAUAUGGCGCAUGGGUCUAGCUACCAAGGAUGCGGAGGCGGGCAGCGAGUUUGGGUUUGAGACUCGGACCCGGAAAGAGAAGGGGUGGAGGUGGGCGCUCGAGGAGUGGCUUCAGAAGAGGGGUUUGGGCUUCUUGAGAUGAGAGAGGGGAAUGAGGGGGCGAUGUUGUAGGGAGGGAGGCCGUUCGGAGGGUUUUUGGUGGCGAUGGGCGGCGGGAUUUCGUGGCGGCGUGCGGCGGCGGUGGGGUGAGGCGAGGACGGGGGUGGCGGGCGGCGGAGGGGAGGUGGUGAGGUGGCGCUCAGGCGGUGCGGCUGUGGGGCGGUUCGCGGCGAAGAUCCGACGACGCUGUGGUCGGCCACAGGGAAGGAGGACGGACUCAAAAGAGGCGCUCGGGGAAGGGCCUCGGAGGAGGUGCUUGGAGCUGAUCGGCGGUGGGCUUCAGGCGUCUGUCCAAACGGCGAAGAUUCGGGCGGCGGGGACGGGCGGUGAUGGCUCGGAUGCCGAAGGCACUAGCGAUAGAGCUCGGCGGCGGCGGGGACCCGAGGGACGGAGCGGCGAUGGCUGCACAGUGCAGCGACAAUUGCGGCGGGGAGGCCACCGGAAGAUGAACAGGUACUUUUCCCUUUUUUCAGUCACGUGUGGUCACGUGCAAUUUUUUUUGGGGGCACGUGAAGUCAUGUGUCACGGCCUUUUUUGUUCCUUUUGUGGAACGGAUUCGAGUUACCAAAAAAAAGGUUAACGGGUCUAGACCUUACCCGUUAGCUGACUUUAAACCUCCCGACGGUUUCGAAAGGCCGUGUCGAGAUUUGCACCGGCGGUUGCGGGCAGACCUCCACAGUCUGCAGUGGCGGCCGACGACCGAUCACCGGCUUUGGCCAGUGGUGGGGCCUUCUCUUCCCUGCGGCUGCUACAGUGGAUCUGAGGCCGCAGGUUCCUCUUUCUAUUUUUAUUAAACCCUAAUCACAAUGAGGGUCCCAUAUAUAUAGGGCCCAAAACAAAAAAAUAACACAAAACCCCUUAUACACAAAUAAUUUUCAAUAAAGCCCAAAAUAACAUAAAUAAAGCCCUACAACAAUAAAAAUGCAAACAAGCCCAAAAAUAAAAUAAAAUCCGAAAUAAGAAUGGUGGACUGGAUGGGUGGAUGAUCAACUCGGAUGUCCCCAUUAGUUUUCAUAAUCGAUGCAUUUUUACUUCAUCCCAAAUUGGAAUUCUUAGACCUCCAAUAUACCUCACCAUAAGUUGUUCUUCAGAUUCUUGAAGAUCAUUGUGAGCCAUUACCUUGUAGAAUUUUUUAGUAUAAUCAAUCACACUUCUAGACUCUUGACGAAAAUUAUUGAAUUGAGAAAAUGCCAUUUGAGCAAAAUCCACCGGAAGAAAUUUUUUCUUAAGCCUAGAUUUCAUUUUCUCCCAAAAAGAAAUCUUAGGCUUUCCUUUGCGAAGCCGCAUCUCUUGAACUCUAUCCCACCAUGCCAAAGCAUAACCACGAAGCCUUGUAUUCAAAGAAUUUUUCAAUGGCGCUAAGCCAUUCAAGAAACUCUCCGGGUUGAAGGCGACCAUGAAAUUCCGGUAAAUCAAUCUUCAAAGUGUCGAAAUCACGAUAGAACAUCCUUUCCAUUCGUCCUUCAUGAUUGGCAAAUGGAUUCACAUCGGAUUCAUCACUAGAAAACCCAUAGCUUGAACCACCUCGCUCUCUACGAGCUUCUCGGCGCCCAAGAUGCAAAGUAAGUUUCUCAACUUGUCUUCGAAGUGCUUGAAGUUCAUCAUCUCUUUCAUCCCUCAUUUGGUUGCCACGUUGUGCUCUACCUCCUCGUGUCACCAUAAGAAAGAAGAGAAUAACCCAAGAGCGUAAUCACAAGCUCUGAUACCAAAUGAUGGGGGGGGAAGGCCAAAUGAAAUGAUAAAUGGAUGAACAAUCAUUCACAACAAGAGAGGAGGAUGGAUAAAGCAAGCUACAAGCUCAAGUUAUCUCAUAUAUCAAAUAAUUUAGGAAUCACAAUCUGUCCUUCACCAUCUACCACAUGGUCUAUUUAUACUAGUCUAAGCAUUAAUCAUGCUCCAACUUACUAAGUACCUAUUACAAUUUUCAAACCCAAAAUAAAUGUAAUCACAACUUACUAAGCACCCAUUACAAUUUUCAAACUCAAAAUAAAUAUAAACACAACU
rnacentral:lncRNA from 1 species